rnacentral:rRNA from 1 species
ACGCAUCACUGGUGUUCGGGUUGUCAUGCCAAUGGCACUGCCCGGUAGCUAAAUGCGGAAGAGAUAAGUGCUGAAAGCAUCUAAGCACGAAACUUGCCCCGAGAUGAGUUCUCCCUGACUCCUUGAGGGUCCUGAAGGAACGUUGAAGACGACGACGUUGAUAGGCCGGGUGUGUAAGCGCAGCGAUGCGUUGAGCUAACUGGUACUAAUGAACCGUGAGGCUUAACCUUACAACGCCGAAG